rnacentral:lncRNA from 1 species
AUUUCAUAUCCUAAAUAAUUAUUUUAUCCUGUAUUUUAGGACAUGAAAAUAAAACUGAUAUAGUUAAGUGAUUUGGGCUUGGAAAUUUCAUAAUAUACAUUACCGAUACAUUUUGGUUUCAUCAUGAAGUUUCAUCAUCUUAAAGAGUAGUAACAGAAAAUCAGUGAUGAAAAGGAGAAUGGCUAAGUGUACAGAAGGAG